UGCUCGGCUGGAUGAAGUCGGUCACUGCACCGGCGGUGUUGAUGGUGGCGACGUCGUUGUAGGUGCUGAUGCGUUCGAAGCGCACGCCGGGCGU
rnacentral:tRNA from 1 species